GGGGGUGUAGCUCAGUUGGUUAGAGCGCUAGCCUGUCACGCCAGAGGUCGCGAGUUCGAGUCUCGUCACUCCCGCCA
rnacentral:tRNA from 1 species